GUAGGUGGCAAGCGUUGUCCGGAAUUAUUGGGCGUAAAGCGCGCGCAGGCGGUUCUUUAAGUCUGAUGUGAAAGCCCACGGCUCAACCGUGGAGGGUCAUUGGAAACUGGAGAACUUGAGUACAGAAGAGGGAAGCGGAAUUCCACGUGUAGCGGUGAAAUGCGUAGAGAUGUGGAGGAACACCAGUGGCGAAGGCGGCCUUCUGGUCUGUAACUGACGCUGAGGCGCGAAAGCGUGGGGAGCAAACAGGAUUAGAUACCCUGGUAGUCCACGCCGUAAACGAUGAGUGCUAAGUGUUAGGGGGGUUUCCGCCCCCCUUAGUGCUGCAGCUAACGCAUUAAGCACUCCGCCUGGGAUACGGCCGCAAGGCUG
rnacentral:rRNA from 1 species